rnacentral:rRNA from 1 species
UACGUAGGGGGCGAGCGUUGUCCGGAUUUACUGGGCGUAAAGAGCUCGUAGGUGGUUUGUCGCGUUGUUCGUGAAAACUCACAGCUUAACUGUGGGCGUGCGGGCGAUACGGGCAGACUGGAGUACUGCAGGGGAGACUGGAAUUCCUGGUGUAGCGGUGGAAUGCGCAGAUAUCAGGAGGAACACCGGUGGCGAAGGCGGGUCUCUGGGCAGUAACUGACGCUGAGGAGCGAAAGCGGGGGGAGCGAACAGG